UUCACAUCGACGGCGGUGUUUGGCACCUCGAUGUCGGCUCAUCACAUCCUAGAGCUGAAGAAGGUUCUAAGGGUUGGGCUGUUCGCCCAUUAAAGUGGUACGUGAGCUGGGUUUAGAACGUCGUGAGACAGUUCGGUCCCUAUCUGCCGUGGGUGUACGAGACUUGAGAGGAGCUGUCCCUAGUACGAGAGGACCGGGAUGGAC
rnacentral:rRNA from 13 species